AUUCGAUUCGAUCCGCGGGGGUAGGUAGGUAGCGGCCUCUCGAGGCUUCGGAUCCUGUGGUCUGAGCGUUCUGAUCUGCGGAUCUGGGCACGUUGCUGCUGGGAUCAGAGGUUCCAGGUCCUGGAGUUAAUUUCGUAGGUGGUGGUUGUGAUGUCGGCAUAAACUAGGGUUUGAAUGGUUUCGUGACAGCUUGGCACUACGAUUUAUUGGGGUUGGUUCUGGUAGCAAUCGCCGGAUUGGGUUUACAUGGGGUAUGAUUCUACGUCAGAUUGAUGAAAUUUUCAAUCAUGGAGAGUUCAACCUCGAGUCUUGUGUAGCUUAGCUUUUUAGGAACUGUUCAGAUAGUGGGAUUGGAGUUCUAAUUUUCGAAACCCUAGCCAAAUUGAGACUGAGAUCUUGUUCCUUCAUCUCCUGCAACGUUAUCCCUUUCAAAAAUCGAGAUAGGCCAGGCAUUAGCCUUUUCGAUGUUGCAUAUUUUGUGCUAGAUUUGGUUUCCCCACUUGUGAUUAGUGCAAAUCUCCCAAACCAAAGUGGGUGCUGUUGGAUCAGGGAGAUGAUUUUUGCGGGGUUCAGAAUGGUUUCUUUACUAGGAGUCACCUAAGCUGCUGCAGUAGAUUUGUUUCCAGAUUUAUGAUUGUCUGAUUCAGUCCUGUCCAGUGAAGGAAUUGGUCCUUGCUGUCUGCUCAUAGGUUACUUCCACGUGCGAGGUAAAGGGUCCAUUGAUGCUGUCUGCUGCUUGGUAGGAUCUGAAGUUUCUGCAGCACCCAGUGAGGGUAUGUUUGGUUCCUCUGCAAUAAGACACACAGAAGUGCCACAAAGAAAAGGU